UGGGGGAUAUUGCACAAUGGGGGAAACCCUGAUGCAGCGACGCCGCGUGUAGGAAGACGGUCCUCUGGAUUGUAAACUACUGUCUUCGGGGACGAUAAUGACGGUACCCGAGGAGGAAGCUCCGGCUAACUCCGUGCCAGCAGCCGCGGUAAUACGGAGGAUGCAAGCGUUAUCCGGAUUUAUUGGGUUUAAAGGGUGCGUAGGCUGUUAUGUAAGUCAGCGGUGAAAUACCUAAGCUCAACUUAGGGGCUGCCGUUGAUACUGCAUAGCUGGAAUAUGGUUGCUGUUGGCGGAAUGUGUAGUGUAGCGGUGAAAUGCGUAGAUAUUAGGAGGAACACCGGUGGCGAAGGCGGCUUACUGGACUGUAACUGACGCUGAUGCUCGAAAGUGUGGGUAUCAAACA
rnacentral:rRNA from 1 species